rnacentral:lncRNA from 1 species
CCUGUGUGUUCCCGGAGUUCAUUCUUCGACUGCGUGAACAAGAACCCGGAUUCUGCUAGCGCUGAAGCUGACCUCAGGACUAUCUUAUUUUCCGAAAGAUCUGAACUGCAGAGGGUCAUUCUGCCCUUGAAAAGAAACCAAGAUAAAAGGAAACAGCUCUCAGGAAUUAUAAGCAAAACACAACCAGACACUCACUGCGGAUUGCCCCAUUUUCCACCUCUUUAGUAAGUGGUUUGGCUUUUAGUGCAUUGCAGAUAUAUGUGCUUGGGUAGCCCUUUUCUUUGCAACGGGAUUUGAUUCUCCUUAUUCUUUUCCUGUCUAUGCCUAGUAAGUCUUGAAAAUCCUUCACUUCUUCAUUCCACAGAUGUUUACUGAAUGCCUGCUAUGUGCAAGAUACUGAUUCUUCCUCUGCUGUGACUUUUGGAUAAUCCAGACUUGAAUUGAG